rnacentral:rRNA from 1 species
CCUACGGGUGGCAGCAGUGAGGAAUAUUGGUCAAUGGACGAGAGUCUGAACCAGCCAAGUAGCGUGAAGGAUGACUGCCCUAUGGGUUGUAAACUUCUUUUAUAUGGGAAUAAAAUGUUCCACGUGUGGGAUUUUGUAUGUACCAUAUUAAUAAGGAUCGGCUAACUCCGUGCCAGCAGCCGCGGUAAUACGGAGGAUCCGAGCGUUAUCCGGAUUUAUUGGGUUUAAAGGGAGCGUAGGUGGAUUGUUAAGUCAGUUGUGAAAGUUUGCGGCUCAACCGUAAAAUUGCAGUUGAAACUGGCAGUCUUGAGUACAGUAGAGGUGGGCGGAAUUCGUGGUGUAGCGGUGAAAUGCUUAGAUAUCACGAAGAACUCCGAUUGCGAAGGCAGUUCACUGGACUGCAACUGACACUGAGGCUCGAAAGUGUGGGUAUCAAACAGGAUUAGAUACCCGUGUAGUC